CAAUCCUCUGUCUACCUCUGUAACUACUAUACCACAUCACUCAGCACCAGAUCCAGACACUUCUUAAACACUUCCAGGGCACAGUAGAAGAGAUCGACCCCCAUCUCCCUAUAAUCUCCUUUCAGGUAGUUCUAGAGAGUGAUGAGGUCCCCGUUGAGCCUUCUCAAGACUAAACAAUCUCAGCUCCCUCAUGUUUUCUAGACCUUUCAUAAGCCUUGUUGUCCUUCGCUGGAUACUCUACUCAAGUCCUCACAGUGACCAGAGGGAACCUCCUGCGUUUCAGUGUGUGACAAUUAUCUCCGGUCCUGCCACUGGGCACAAGUGAAAACAACUUGACUGCGUCUACUUUGCACCCACCCUUCAGCAGGAAAAGAGCCUUGCCUUUUAAUUUGUCAUUCAUCACAUUUUCCUCCUGCAACUAAGCAUCAUAGCUCCCCUGGCACAACUUGAGACCA